rnacentral:sRNA from 2 species
CACAGCUUUUUUAGUUGGUGCCACUCGACUCUUGAGAGAUUUUAGUUCCUCGAUUCGACACCGGCCCCACAACCCCAGAUCCCGCGAUCGAACCUUGCAGAUUCUGGCUGCACCAAUAAUGUGCCAAAAGGUCUCAAGGUUUCGGUCUCAUGGCCUGAACUUGGAGAUUUUGAGCCAAAAUAGAAGGCGGGACAACCCGAAGAAGAGACGACGGCCCAUAAAAACAAUCAUAAUUAGAGGCGGAUAUAGCGGUUGGACCAAGGAUCUAGAUUAUCCUCGCCCUUGAGCGUCUCGAUCUGAUCCAUGUUUUCCAAAGUGGGCUCGUGUUCUUCACUUGGUAUUGGCAUCAGGGAUCCCAAUUUGUCGAACGCGGUCUAUUGAGCCAAGCCUUCGGAAUUACUAUUCAAUGAGCUUCAGAAUCAUUGGGGAACGAAGUGUCGAAAGGAUAUACGCAAUAGAAGAUCAAAACCGUUGGAAGACCCAACGGCAUCCCAGUGUUUGAACGAA